rnacentral:rRNA from 1 species
GGUUGUAACUUGCGGGUAGCAAUAAAAAAUACGGCGGGUUGUGAUAAAUAAGUCGAUAGCUAUUAUAUCUGUUUUAAGGGUUUGUCUUUCGUUUAAGAAUGAGGCCGAUGAGGGCCUCAUUCUUUUUACACGCCAUGUGGUUCUUAUUUAACCCAGGGUUAGGGAUACCCCCGGCUAGGGGACAUGUUAAAAUUCUUGAUUUACUAGAGGCGUUAGAGCUUGGCCCCUUACAUAAUAAUUGUACUAGUCUAUGAAUGAGUUAAUUAGUAAUUAUAUAGCCCGCAUUUUAUCUCUAUCAUGGUCCGGCUGUUUAUUAAAAACAUUUCCGCCUGGCAGUCAUGGGCGGUAUUACCUGCCCUGUGAGUUAUUUAACGGCCGCAGUAUAUUGACUGUGCGAAGGUAGCAUAAUUAAUUGCCCCGUAAUUGGGGGCUUGUUUGAAAGGUUUAACGAGAUCAGUGACUAAAAUUGCGGGCUUUGUUGAAUUUAAUUUAACGAGUACAGAAUCUGUUAAGUUUAAUAAGACGGAAAGACCCCGGGAUCUUUGUUUUUUGUCUGGGGCGGAUUUUGUUCUUUCAACAAGUUUGUGACCCGUAGUUUAAAGGUUUAAGUUACCCCGGGGAUAACAGUGUUAUAGCCCAUUAGAGUUCCUAUCGAAUGGGCUGAUUGCUACCUCGAUGUUGACUUGGGUAACAUUAAAGGCGUAGCAGUUUUUAGUAUCGGUCUGUUCGACCAAUUUUACCCUCAUGAGUUGAGU